rnacentral:rRNA from 1 species
GACGAACGCUGGCGGCGUGCCUAAUACAUGCAAGUCGAACGCAGUGGGGACGGGUGAGUAACACGUGGGUAUCCUCCCAUCAGAGGGGAUAACACUUGGUAACAGGUGCUAAACUGAUACUGACGGAUGAAUCCGCGGUUCAUUAGCUAGUUGGUGAGGUAACGGCUCACCAAGGCCACGAUGCAUAGCCAACCGGAGAGGGUGAUCGGCCACACUGGAACUAAGACACGGCCCAGACGCCUACGGAAGGCAGCAGUAGGGAAUCUUCGGCAAUGGACGAAAGGCUGACCGAGCAACGCCGAGUGAGUGAAGAAGGUUUUCGAAUCGUAAAACUCUGUUGUUAGAGAAGCGGUAUCUAACCGGGAAGCCACGGCUGACUGCGUGCCAGCAGCCGCGGUAAAAC